GAUGAACGCUAGCGGCAGGCUUAACACAUGCAAGUCGAGGGGCAGCGGGGAGUAGCAAUACUCUGCCGGCGACCGGCGAAAGGGUGCGUAACGCGUGAGCGACAUACCCGUGACUGGGGCAUAACCGAUGGAAGCGUUGACUAAUUCCCCAUAACACAUCGUGCUGCAUGGCAUGGUGUUGAAAAUUUCGAUGGUCACGGACUGGCUCGCGUCUGAUUAGCUAGUUGGUGGGGUAACGGCUCACCAAGGCGACGAUCAGUAGGGGUUCUGAGAGGAAGGUCCCCCACAAUGGAACUGAGACACGGUCCAUACUCCUACGGGAGGCAGCAGUGGGGGAUAUUGCACAAUGGAGGAAACUCUGAUGCAGCGACGCCGCGUGAGUGAAGAAGUAUUUCGGUAUGUAAAGCUCUAUCAGCAGGGAAGAUAAUGACAGUACCUGACUAAGAAGCCCCGGCUAACUACGUG
rnacentral:rRNA from 1 species